rnacentral:rRNA from 1 species
UACGAAGGGGGCUAGCGUUGCUCGGAAUCACUGGGCGUAAAGCGCACGUAGGCGGCUUUCUAAGUCAGAGGUGAAAUCCUGGAGCUCAACUCCAGAACUGCCUUUGAUACUGGAGAGCUUGAGUUCGGGAGAGGUGAGUGGAACUGCGAGUGUAGAGGUGAAAUUCGUAGAUAUUCGCAAGAACACCAGUGGCGAAGGCGGCUCACUGGCCCGAUACUGACGCUGAGGUGCGAAAGCGUGGGGAGCAAACAGGG